AUGGGAAACCAUCAGGACUGAGGUCAUAGCCCCAGUACCCAUGGAAACAGCCACAUGUAGCCAAAACAUGCCUGCAACAUCAUUGUUGAAAGUGGGGAUGGUGCUGGAAGAUUACUGCGACCUGCUGACAAGCUCCAAGACUAGUGCAAGACUAUGCCACAGCGAAGAUGCAGAGGCAGUAGAAGAGGAUGCUUGAUGAUGUCCUCUGGCUUCCACUCAUGCAAGCUAGGUGCACUCACAAAAGGCAAUUAAUAGUCUGGAUUUCUCUACUAGACUCUUGUCAUGGAAUAUAUAUAUUCAGAACAAAUGACUUUUUUUUUUGGUUAUUCGAGACAGGCUUUCUCUGUGUAGCCUUGACUGUCCUAGAACUCACUUUGUAGACCAGGCUAGCCUCGAACUCAGAAAUCUGCCUGCCUCUGCCUCCCAAGUGCUGGGAUUAAAGGCGUGCGCCACCACGCCUGGCACAAAUGACUUUUAAAGUGGAUUUAAUUAUUUUUCACUUUCUUUGCCUUGAGAAAAUCAAUAACUUUAUUUUUUCUCAAAUACACAGUUAGAAAAUUAGUCUGAGAAGAGGUUUUGUGACAUAAACUAGAUAAAGUAUAUACAAAAAUCUAAGAAGUGCAGAAUAGAAGUCCCACUGGCUAGGUCCUGCCCAUCAGAGGGGAAGCCAGGUCUUUGAUAGUUUUGGAGUUCAGGUGAGGGAUCCUGACCUUCAGGAGUCUGCUGCUGGCAUACUUGACAGUAAUGAACUUGGUGAGAUUUUCAUUGACUUUCACAACGUUCUUGGCCAAGUGCUUCAUGACUUCCAGUGCUUCACUCUCCAUGUAUCCUGUGUAAUACUGCUGCUUUAAAUUGCGUUUUCCUUGGCCCAGCACCACCCGAGACAGACAGGAAGCAGCAGCUGCAGCAGGAGUGUCAGCUCCAUCAGAUACUUGGCUAAAGUGUGUUGUUCAACAUCGACCUCCCUGGCAUUUGAGGCUCACCUUAAGAAGUAGAAUGGUGAAGUCCAGCCCAACUCCAAAUUCAACUCUUUCAAAAUUAGUUUCCAUUUCUCAGAUUUGGAAACUGGAGUAAGCAUUGUCUAAGAUAUAAACAAAGUCUUCAGUACUCAGAGAAAGCAUCAUAUUUGGAAGCCAAAAGCAGAGCUGUGAUCCUAACCAGCUGCAGCUUCUUCCCGCAGAGCAGCUGAACAUGUAGGAACUGGUCCAUGAUGGCAAUGCACAUGUAUGGAGUUUCCUGUAGAAGCCUAAACUUGGAAUGGACUUAGACCAACUUUAUUUCCAGUUUCUUCUAAAACUGCCUGCUGCUUAGUCAUAUAGCUUUAGGAUUAACUCCUGUAUCAAUAUUCUUCAAAUCACUGUACACCUUUGGGCAUCAGAGUAGCAACAUGAGGACCACCCUGGAAAGUGUAGAUGAGGCAUAGCCACUCUGGUCCACAGCACCACCAGUUGUUUUGUUUUUGACUUUUAAUAUUUUCUCCAAAUAAGAAUUCUGUGCAUAUUUUAUAGUUUUAACUAUUUUCAGCAGUAUAUAUGUGUGUGUGUAAUUUUUUUUAUAAAUAUUGACAACCUACCUGCAAAAUAACCAUAAAAGAUCAACUUCACAUUUUUCAAAAUUUUCCUUUCAUCAGAGUCAUUAUUGCCCAAAUGCAAUAAUGGGCAAUAAUUCCUUAUGUAGUGGGAUCUUACUAAUUAAUGCUCUAUUCCUAUGUAAAUUUUACCGUAUUUACGUUACAGCUUUUUAUCAUAGUUUUCCCUUCACUUUUCUUACCAAAAGAUACAUCCCACUGGUUUAAGCAAUGAUCACAUCAAAUGUAACAGAUUACAGUAAUGAAUCUAUCUACAUACCAUAUCUGAUCUGUUCAUCAGAAAUAUCAUUUUAUUUUAUUAUUUUGUGUAUGUGUAGCAUGUGUAAGCACAGUGGGUGUGGUAUAUCCGUAGAUGUCUGUGCCUGUGUUCCUUUGGAGGCCAGAGGAGGAUGUCCUUCUGCCCCACUUUUUGCCUUAAUCCCUUGACACUAUGUCUCUCCCUGAACUAAGAGCUAGGCUAAUAAUCAUCCCUGAUGUUGCGUCUGUAGGUAAUGUUUAGGUAAAUUGCCAUAGUAGAACCCUACAAAGGGUCCUGCAUAGCUCUGAAGUGCAGUAAAGGUCUCACUGCACAGAAGUAAUUUCCAAACAUCUCUUGCUUGACAGUGUUGUAAAGUAGGAGCAUAGAAGCAAGCACAAACCAUGUAGCUGCUCUAAUCAUAGUGUAGAUGUAGAACAUACUAUUUGCAAAUAAAAGUACUUCUAUUUUUG
rnacentral:lncRNA from 1 species